UCCGUGUUAGUAAACAUUUAUCAUAUUCCGUUUAAGCUACUAAGAAAGCACCGACCCAAUUGUUUAUAACCCUGACUAACCUCCGUAUGUAAUUAACAUAAAUAAAAAAAAAAACAAUUUACAAUCCGGGGAAACACAUUAUUCACAAACACUUCCUAUAAAAGCUUUGACUGAACCGAGCGAACAGUUUACUAAGGUUGGUAGGUCAGCAGAUAAAAAUUCAAUUUUUUUUUAAUGGUUGCCAAUAUGAAGUACUUUAUUGCGUUGGUUUGUUCCUUAAUUUGUUUCAAUAUUUUUUUAAUUGGAAUCAAUGGGUCACCAGUGCCUGAAAAUCAACGAGUGGGUAAGCCUACCAUAGUGGAUCCCAAUAAUCCUCCUUGUCAUUUGGUUUGCAUAUCAAAAAGGGUUAUGCCAUUUCCGAAUGAAAAGAAUUGCCGUUGUAAUUCGUUACUUAGGACAGGGUGAUUGUGCUUUUUUAAAUUUUGUAUUGAAUAUUUUUGUCAAACCAUGAAUAAACUGCCUUAAUAUGUGGCGUUUUUGUGUA